rnacentral:rRNA from 1 species
GACGAACGCUGGCGGCGUGCUUAACACAUGCAAGUCGAGCGACUGCAUUCUUUUCGGAGGGUGUAUGGAGCGGCGAACGGGUGAGUAACACGUGAGUAAUCUGCCUUUGGCUUGGGAAUAACUUCGGGAAAUCGGGGCUAAUGCCUGAUGUUUACUGUCUGCUGCAUGGUGGGUGGUGGAAAGAUUUUUUGCCAGGAGUGAGCUCGCGGUCUAUCAGCUUG